GCCUAGUUAGCUUAGUUGGUAGUGCGUCUGCCUUGUAAGCGCUAGGCCGCGGGUUUGAUUCCCGCCCGGGGCG
rfam:Asian citrus Psyllid, Diaphorina citri - Florida Strain, whole genome shotgun sequence.